rnacentral:misc_RNA from 1 species
AACAGAGAAGAUAAGCAGAGAGCCACAUUCUACUACAUAAACCAUGUCGACCGCCAUCGCUAACGGAGAGCAGAAGAGCAGGCACCAGGAGGUAGGCCACAAGAGCCUCCUCCAGAGCGAUGCUCUCUAUCAGUAUAUCCUCGAAACCAGCGUUUACCCCCGCGAACCCGCCGCCAUGAAAGAACUCCGUGGCAUCACUGCCAACCAUCCCUGGAACAUCAUGACCACCUCCGCCGACGAGGGUCAGUUCCUCAGUAUGCUUCUCAAGCUUAUCAAUGCCAAGAACACCAUGGAGAUUGGCGUCUUCACCGGCUACUCCCUCCUCGCCACCGCUCUCGCCCUUCCGGACGACGGAAAGAUCUUGGCAAUGGAUAUCAACCGUGAGAACUACGAGCUCGGGCUUCCGGUGAUCGAGAAGGCUGGGGUUGCCCACAAGAUCGAUUUCCGAGAGGGGUCAGCUCUUCCAGUGCUGGACCAGAUGCUGGAGGACCCCAAAAAUCAUGGUUCGUUUGACUUUGUGUUUGUCGAUGCUGACAAGGACAAUUACCUAAACUAUCACCGCCGGCUGCUGGACCUGGUGAAGGUGGGCGGGUUGAUCGGCUACGACAACACGCUCUGGAACGGCUCGGUUGUGGCCCCGCCAGAUGCGCCGCUGCGGAAGUACGUGCGCUACUACCGGGACUUCGUGUUGGAGCUGAACAAGGCCCUUGCUGCGGAUCCACGCAUUGAGAUCUGCCAGCUCCCAGUUGGCGACGGCAUCACCCUCUGCCGCCGCAUCAAGUGAUAUGUUGCUGCCUGCCUUGAUUUGGUGGAGAUUUGUAUUAAUUAUCUCGGGUGUUUCGUCAGUUCCAAUUGAAAAUAUAUGGUGGAUAAGUCCUGGUUGUACUAUUUCUAAUGUUUUCAGUCCUGAAAGGACUUUAUUAAGCAGCCA